rnacentral:rRNA from 1 species
AGGCAGCAGUGGGGAAUAUUGCACAAUGGGCGCAAGCCUGAUGCAGCCAUGCCGCGUGUGUGAAGAAGGCCUUCGGGUUGUAAAGCACUUUCAGCAGUGAGGAAGGCGGAGUCGUUAAUAGCGGCCUCGUUUGACGUUAGCUGCAGAAGAAGCACCGGCUAACUCCGUGCCAGCAGCCGCGGUAAUACGGAGGGUGCGAGCGUUAAUCGGAAUUACUGGGACGUAAAGCGCAUGCAGGUGGUUUGUUAAGUCAGAUGUAGAAAGGCCCGGGGCUACAACCUCGGAAUAGCUAUUUAGAAACUGGCAGACUAGAGUACUGUAGAGGGGGUAGAAUUUCAGGUGUAGCGGUGAAAAUGCGUAGAGAUCUGAAGGAAUACCGGUGGCGAAGGCGGCCCCCUGGACAGAUACUGACACUCAGAUGCGAAAGCGUGGGGAGCAAACAGGAUUAGAUACCCUGGUAG